ensembl:lncRNA
AAGGGUGCAGUGGGGAUGGAGCAGAACUGUGAUUUCAGUAGGCUAUCUCUAUUUCCAGAAUUAACCUUUAGUUGAGCAGCCCACAUUCACAACCUCAGCCAUCAGAUAAGAAUACUAAGGUAUGAUUCAUUACUUCCUGAAGAGCUUUUACAUGUGCUUUAAUGUAGCUAUAUGACAAAAAAGAUAUACAGAUCUUUACUUUACGUGUACUUUUUAAUGCAGUAUGUAAUGUAAUACAUCCUUGAGAGUCUCCAUACAGGAUCCAUAUCAAAUUAUAAGUCAAUGUGAGCAGUGCACGUUGUAGCCUACUGUUACGUCACACAACUUGUCAAAAAAAGAUUUGACUUUCAAUAUGCACUUUCACUCAUUUUAAUUAAGUUGCUCUGUUUAACAUUUGAUAGUGAUAAAUGUAGCACACCCCACAAGGAUUAGACGUUAAGAGUCAUUUGUAAGAAAGCAAGUCUUCAUUAGAAUCUGCCGGUGUUCUCGAAGUCAAGUCAUAUAGUAGGUUACUGCGGGUGAUAUUAGCUUGCAUAUGUUUGUCAUCUUUAGACCGCAGCUGUUCAUGUGAAAGACUUUCAGUGGUACCUGCCUUACCGCUUUUUCCUAUGUACUACCUCCCCUGAUUGCAAGCAUGUGCGCAAGACAAAGCCUAAGACCCGCAGCUUUCACUGAUGACUCUUUCGCCAACCCAUUAGUUCUCUUAAAGUCACUUUUCCAUGUCCUCAGUUCUCAUGGGACACUUAGCAUGCACUCAGGAGCCGCAUCAUAGUUUGGCUGUGAGCUUAGACUUGCUUACGCACACAGAGCAUGAGUAAUAUCGUUUCCCCGCGAGUGCACCACCAAAUGCCUUCAACGGAAUUUCCCAUCUCAUUUCAUAUGAAAAAAAGGCAGAGUGAAGAAAGCUCUUGGAUCUUCUUAUUCUGUUGCAAAACAUCAAAUUUUACCCGUGUGCAAACCCUCGAACCCACUCCGAGUUAUCAGGAAACGUGUUCAGCCCUUUGUUCGAAAUCCGAAUUCUGGAACAGAGAUGUCGCACAAUGUGUACCUUGUCAAAUAUGCAAACAGUAUCCGAAAACUCCAUCAUGUGACACAUGCCCACCCAUAGAGCCUUCGGAUUCCUGGAGGGUGGCAGCAAUUACCAGUUUAUCUGUCCUGGCAGCCGUAAUUGUUUGCGGAGCCUUGCUCAUAGGCAUUCUAGUACAUCAAUGCAGGUCCAAGAGGACUUUACGUGGUGAGAUAUUAACAUUACAGCACAACAAACAUUCUCCUUCAGAGCAGGGCUCAAAACUAACUCAAUUUUUUCUGUCCACAAUUCAGAACCGAUUGAAGAGACAACAGGACCCCUUUAUCAAGUAUAGGAUCUUCAUAAGCUCAUGGAACUCAAGCUGA